rnacentral:sRNA from 1 species
CUGGUAACAAUGGAAACUGAAGUUUUAUGUUUAUCUUCAGGCUAGGAUGGAUGGAGAUAGCAACAGUACAUGCUUUUCCAAAUUGACCUGCUAAUGACCUCAAUCCUGGCCUGGAGUGAGAGGAUAUUUAACUCUGAUGCUAACUCAACUCUGGGACUCC